rnacentral:rRNA from 1 species
UACGUAGGGUGCGAGCGUUGUCCGGAUUUAUUGGGCGUAAAGAGCUCGUAGGCGGUUUGUCGCGUCGGCCGUGAAAUCUCCACGCUUAACGUGGAGCGUGCGGUCGAUACGGGCAGACUUGAGUUCGGUAGGGGAGACUGGAAUUCCUGGUGUAGCGGUGAAAUGACGCAGAUAUCAGGAGGGAACACCGGUGGCGAAGGCGGGUCUCUGGGCCGAUACUGACGCUGGAGGAGCGAAAGCGUGGGGAGCGAACAGG